AAAACCUUUUUUUUUCUGAGGUGUGGCUCGCACCGGUCCAAUUAAACUAGAGCUACCUUUUUUCAACACGGUUGCAUCGGUUGCGGUUCGUCGACCAGUUCAUAUAGAGCUGCGACGCGGCCACAACACUUUUACACAAAACACUUUUGAUGAUCUAGGAUUUGGAACGAAGUUCAUUUUUACGAUGGAACCGACUGGUAAUGCGGUCGUCUAAAUCUAAAAAACAACUUUUGGCAACGGAUCUCUUGGUUCUCCCAUCGAUGAAGAACGCAGCGAAUUGCGAUAAGUAAUGUGAAUUGCAGAAGUGAAUCAUCGAAUCUUUGAACGCACCUUGCGCUCCCGGCAGAUCUAAUCUGGGGAGCAUGCCUGUUUGAGGGCCGCGAAUUUGUUUCGAACGGCAGUUUUUUUCCCGAAAAGCUGGCGGAUCGGUAUUGAGGGUUUUGCCAUUCACCGUGGCUCCCUCGAAAUGCAUUAGCGCAUCCAUUUGAUAGGCAAGACGGACGAAAGCUCGAGCGACUUUAUUGGUGCUGGUUCCUUCCCUCUUUUUCCUGCCGGGUUUUGAUAAUAUCAGGACUUCGGAGGCGGAGAGGGAAAGGGCGAGAGCUCGACGCGACGUUUUGCUGGUUGGAGUGCUUCUGAACCCCGCCCAUUUUGCAGAAAAAGGGAUCUUCACAAAUC
rnacentral:rRNA from 1 species